AAAGGAUACAAUUUUUACUAUUCCAACGCCAGAGAAGGCACCAUGAGUGUUAUAAUGCUUCAUGCGGUAACCUGUGUUGCUCUGCUUACAGUGGCUUGGGGACUACCAUUUGCCUCUGAAGAAGAAGAUAAUGAAUUUUUAGGACUUAAAAGGAUACCCUACCCAGCCAAUUGGCAUGCAGCUACAGUGUCUGAACAGAUGAGUGAAUACUGGUCAUUACUGAAGACAUCAUCACAGUAUUCCAUGGACACGGUCAGGGACUACAUUAGUUUUUACAAGAAUAUGUUAUGGCAACCAGAAGAGCAUCAAGCUUGAUCAGUUUGUAGACAAAUGCUGUUAUGUUUAAUUGACAAGGAUCCAACAUAAAUGUCUUCAUCCUGUCCUGGAAUUGAUAAGGGUAUAUCCUGUGAAAAAAGUGCCCAGGCCUUCACCUACAAUCCUGUAUGAAAGAAAUUACUUUUAAAUUGUCAUGCAUAGGAUUCAUUGUCUAACAGGUCCUGCAUGGGAAAUAUACUCAUUGUCAUACGUAAAUCAAAAGUAGUUGUUAUCGUUUUUGAAUGUGAGGAAUGUCCUAGUGAAUGUAAUAUUGAUUUUGGAAUCUUGUUCAUGAACUGGAUUAUUCUUUAGGAAUUGUUCACCACAAAUUAGAUUUUUAACUUGAAAUUGUCCAUAUGCCAGAAGUAAUAUGGGAGUGUAAUAUUAACAAAGCACUGCUGCUUGCUUCUGCAUUGUUUAAUUGAGAAAUUGUGGGAUGUACACAACACAAACUUUACUAUCAUUUCAUUUAUAAUUCCUUCACUUUUGUGAACAUAUAAAAACCCAGUAACAUAUAUAUUGUACCACUUGGCCUGUCCAGAUGCCUGUAAUUCAAAGCAAGAAGGAAACUGUAUAUUCAAAACAUAUUAAUUCAUCAUUGGAUCUUCUUGACCUUAUCUUUCCAUGGUUUACCUUAUAACUUUUUAAAGUACCCUACGUGAAUUUCAUUCACCUUAUAUUUAUGCCUUUCCUGACAUACCAAAUUUUCCACUUCUGUAUAACAAAGUGAGCAAAAAUACCCUCUUACAUACAGCCAUUUUUGCUUCUUUCAAGGACCAUUAAUUCCAUACUACAGACCUCGAUAUUACCUUAGCUCCUAGGAAGGGAACUGUAUUAAACUAUGGAAGAAGAAAAAAAGGAUAUGGUACGUACAUGUUUUUAAAGACAUAAACCUUUCUGAUUUGCAGUUCACAACAAAUUUAAAAGAACUUUUAAAAAAUAUAUGUUGAAAAAUAUGCAACUAUAUUCCUGUUUUAUUCCCCUUUUCUCCAAGAUGUCCCUUGUCUUAAUAUUUCUUCAUCUAUUUUCCUCAUCUUUAGUGAAUAUUUUGUCAAGGUAUAUAUACGUUUAUCUACUUUUUCUAAUUUUAACAUGCAUGUAUAACUUUUAAUUGAUCACAUGUAUUUUCUCUGCCAAACAUGUUAUUUGUCAUUAACAAAUUCAUUUUUAGAUCCUUGUUUGUAUAACUCAAUGUAGUGUAUAUAAUGCUUCUGCCUUCUGUGUCCAACAACAAUACAUUGUGAGGUGGGUUGGGCUGAGACAGAGUGAUUGACCCAAAGUACUGAGCUGGCUGCUUUCUACUCACAAUUGCUGCUAAUCACAUGAAUCAACAAUUUGGCAACAUUUGCAUACAAAGUACAUGUACAUUCAUGUCCUCAAUCAAUCAAAUUCUAACACCUCCAGAAUAAUUUUUGUACGUUUAUAAGUUUCUUAAAUAGUCAAUGAGAUAUACACCACCUUAUCGUAUUCCCUAGUUAAUGUUGAAUCAUUCAUUAAGCAUUUUUCCCCCCUUAGGUACGCUAUUGUUCCAUUAUAUAUAACUCUUAAUACAUUCAGCAACUAACCUUUGUGCAAAUAUUGCCUAUUCAUUCCGUCAUAUGGUUUCUCUAAAUUAAUCAGUGUGCAACCUUUAUUUAUCUAGCUGGGAAUAUUAAUCUUUCAUGAAAAUAGAUGUCACAAAGCAGAAUCUAUAAAGUUUGAAAUAACACUGAAACAGCAGAGAAAUCAAACAAUUUCUUUGAAAAUUCAGAUACACACAGUAGGUACUCCACUAAGCAGGUGUUCAGUUUAAAAAAACGAAUGACAGAAUCCUCCUAAUUUUCAUCAGUGUGUGAUGUUUGCAUAAUCCUCUUGAACAGUUCUGGUAAACUAUUUCAAGAGCAAGUUACCUCAUUAAACAGAGAGGAAGAAUAGGAACAGGUAGAUUCCUUCCCUACCCUUCUGUCACUGUUCCCAUCACUCUCCAAGAACUGAGUAGUGUCCUAUAUCAUUUUCCAUGCAAGUCACAAUUCUAGAUAAUAAUUCCUUAAGACACCUGAUGGCCUAGUUAGUAUCUUCAAAUGUAUUUGUGUUUGCUAAUUCAUUAGCACAAUGUCAAGGAAAACUUGUUUUGCUGUGGACUAAGUGUGCAGUUUUAGAUCUCCUUUUAGCUGAGAACAAGAUAAUUUAGUAAGACUUCAUUUGAGCAGUUAUGAAUAGAUAAUUCUGACAGUUCAUGGCACAUCUUUCCCUUUAUCUGCAAAUAAGCCAACCUACCCUCUUUAUCCUAUUAUUUUUCUAUUAUUCCAUUAAUAUCCUUUUGUUUUUGUUUCAAAAAUGACACUAUUUUUGUGAACCAUAAUUUUCUAUUAACAAUAUUGUUAAUAUUAACAAUAAAAAGAUUUUAAGUGUCAUGAAAAUAAUUGCUUAAGUUUUUAUCAACAUACCUUAAUGGCAAAUCGAAUUUUUAUUCCAAGCAUUAUGGGGGCAUACACCGAUAUAGUGUACCCAGAAAUAAAAAAAGUAUAGCAGCUUCCCAAUGAGGAUAGUAGAGGGAAAUGCCAUGAAUUUUACUAAGAUGCAUAUAUGAAUAGUUGGAUCUAAGGAACAGCACUACAUUCUGUAUAUUCUUACACAUUAUCCUUUGCUAGACACUUAUACGACAUGUGCAUUCUUCCUAUUUUUAGUUAUGUAAAUAGUACUUUGAUUCCCUGGGCUCUAUUCAUAAGAAAAUAUCUGCCUAUCUAACACAAUUUCUGACUACUAGGAAGUAUAAGUAAGAAAUACAAAUACUGAUAGUUUAGAACAGCUAGUCUCAACCUUAUGAUACUUCCUCCUUCCUCUGAGGUAUGUUGGAGUUCAGUUCCAACAUAUCUAAAGGGCAGAAGGGUGGCCCAAUAGGUUUUUAAUCAGUCCAUUGCAAUCAGUCAAUUAAAAUAUUAUUUAAAAUACAUCUAAAUGAAAAUGGCAGCCCACAUUUUUUUCAUAUAUAUCUUUUCUUCCUGAAGCCCUCUAGACAAAGCAAAAGAUACUAUCUUCUUAAAAGAUAUGCCACCUCCUGCUGCUCAGUCCAACAGGCACAUGAAUAAUCUAAAAACAAAUAAAAAGCUGCUGCCUUCUUUAAAAUGAUUGAUAGUCUAAAGCUCACCUGGAACUUGGCCUAAACAGAUGCAGUUGGAAGAAAGAUAUGCUAUUCCUGCUUAAUGCCAGCCUCUCCUCCCCUUCUAAUGAUCUCUUUCGGUGGAAUUGUAAAUUAAUAGGAGGCUGGGAUCUGAUCUGUCAAGCACCAGGCACUUUGAGGACAUGUACAAAUGUAUGUCUAAUCCGUCAAAUAAGAUUUCUCUAACAGGACGACACGUAUUAAAAAAUAAGUUGUGCUGUUGAACAUAACUUGCCAUCUAAAUUUGGAGCAAGCAAUUUGAAACCUAGAGCUGCUGCUGGACACCUUCUGUUCACAACUGCCAAAAAGAUGGGACAGGAAACACAAAACUAUUAAUAAAGGCCAUGCUAUAGAUUUAUUGUGGCACAAAAACAAAAGACAAAAGUCUUGUUCCCUAUACCCAUGUAAACUUGGUGUCAGAUAAAUAAUGCCAGAUAAAUGGCACAUGUAACACCACUCCAGUGUGACAUGUACUAGUUACCACUGCGUUUCCAGGUGUAAUUCUGGGUGCAAUUGAAGGUGCUGGUGGUUAUCAAUAAAGCCUACAUGGCUUGGGACCAGGAUGACUGAAGGAUCACCAUUUUUCAAAGAGUCUCUAGCUGUCCCACUAGGUCAAACAGAAUGGGCAUACUGAAGAUCUCAUUAACCAAAGAAUGUCAGCUGGUGGAGACUAGAAAGUGAGGGUUUUUUUGCAGUGGCAGAGUUUUGUCCCUUUUCAGUAAUUAAAUAUAAAUUAUUGCUAUACACUUUGUAAAAAGAUAUAAGGGGAAUGUUUGAUUCUACUUGCAAACUGAAAGUAAUAUUCAAAAUCGCCUGAUCACAUGUACAGACACAUUCAUUCUAAUAGAUAGUGAUUUCUAAGUAAGCAAAGGCAGUAGCAAAAUCUCAAGUUUAUUAAAUGCCCUAUAUCUUGGGCAAAAUAAGUAAUAUAAUAAUCUCAUUUCCUUUCAAUCUUUGCAACCCAAAAUGAGGUUUUGAAAUUAUGAAUAACUGUCUAUCUUCACUAGCAUUCUGGUCAAAGGGCAGCUCUUUAAAACAAGAUGAGAUUUAUACACCAUAAUAACUCCGUAAUGAGAUUUAUUCAGGUUUCUGUAAAGUGUAACUAUCUUUUUGCUAAAACUAGACAGCACUAAUAAACCAGUGAGUUGAAAUAGUCUGCAUGGCAGCUGCUUGUCAGUUUCCCCAACAUAAUUUCCAGAUGUUUAGGAUUACAAUUUCUAUAAUCACAGCUAUACAGGUAGUCCUCAGCCACAACUGAGCGCAAAAUUUCUGAAAAAUUUGUUAAGUAACUUUUGCUCCAUUUUACGGCUUUUCUUGCCACAGUUGUUAAGUGAAUCAUUGCAGUUGAUAAGUUAGCAAUUUGGUUGUUAAGUGAAUCUGGCUUCCUCAUUGACUUUGCUUGUCAAGGUUGUAGGAAGUUAGCACCCACCCCUUUCCUAGAAGAAUGAAAUAUUUUAGGAAAUAUUAAAAAAGGCAGAUAAUUAUGUUUCCCUGGUUGAGAAAUGGAGAAACAUGUUUUAAAGACAAAGCAACUCCCACCUUCCUGCCUUCCCCCCUUUGUUAAUGGGCCAGAGGCAGAAACUCAAUCUUUGACAAUAGGACCCAUCUGCAACACAAUAGCAACAGAAACUCACCACAUGGCACCUGGGAAGAUUAAAUCAGCCAGCAAGGCUAGCUAAGACCCCCACCCCCUGGGAGUCUGACAACCAAUCAGGAUACUCUUUCGGGGCCCCAGGAAGUUCAAAGCCAGAGAGAGCAUAAAACCCCGGGGACUCGCUGUAUCUCGCCCCUUUUUCUGUUCAGGAACUCAAACCCGGGGGGGAUGACAUCAUCAUGGCCAGCCGGAAAUAACAAGUGGAUUAACUGUUUAGAUGCUGGUUGUAAAUACUCAAGUGAAUUAACUAUUUAGAUACUGGUUGUAAAUGCUCAAGUGAAGUAACUGUUUAGAUGCUGGUUGUAAAUACUCAAGAAUUAAACAUAAGCCAACUUCCGGGUCACAUGGGAGGGAGUGCGCCUGAUUGGGUGGGUGGUGAUAACUAAUGGUGGGAAGCACAGGGCAGUAGCCCUAACAGGAUUUUAAUCUGCGAUUGUCAGUGAGUGCCAAAAAGUGAUUAAACUAAGGUAGUAGCCAUUCAGGUUUGUCUCCUUUUAUUUCCUUCUGUUUGGAACCUGACAACUGACUAUUUCUGAUUUGUAAUAGUAUUAUUCUGUUUUGAUUAACUUACCAUCCCACUUUUAAAAAGAGGAGCCAAACUCAGAGAACAAAAUAGUGCAAGAUUUGACAACUGGGCAACUUCCAGUUGUGUGAGCCUCAGUUCCCAGAAUAUCAGCAAUGGCUUUGUUGACUGAGGAAUUCUGAGUCCACACAUCUGGAAAUUGGCAAGAUUGGGAUAGAUAGAAUGUUGUAUUUCCCUUUAUAUUGAAAAACUUACUUGUCUUUUCUUUAUAGAUUCUUGAACAAAUGGAAUGUUAACAUUAUCAGAGCAUAUAGAUUUGUAAGUGGAAAGAAAUAAUUAUUUUAGAGCAAUUUUGUUAAGGCUACCAUAUGUGAACUGCAAAAAGCCAAAGAGCCACGCACGAAGGGCUCGUUUCUGUAGCUCUUUGCUGCCAUCUAGCAGUAUUCAUCCUCAUGUUGGCAAAUUUAUCUUACUUCUUUACUGCUAAUCAUAAAUAGAAACUACAACAAAAUAAAUGAUAUUAAUAAUAUACCUUUAAUAUGCCUUUCUCUAUUCAAUACUUAGCUAUAAUCCUUUGCAUUUAAGAUGAAAUUUUCAGAAUAGGUACAAAAGCUAAUUUGUGCUAUUCCCCAAAUGGAAUGCAGGGCAGUUUGGAUAUGAAUGUAACAGGGAAUGGACUCUUCCAGGUUUAAGUUUUUUCUUGACAUUAACUGAUGUGUUUUGAUAUGUUCCUAAUUGCUUGCAGUCACAUGGAACCGACACAGCUGUUUUCCGCAACAUCAAAGAGGGGAAAAAGAGGAAUAUUUUGCUAUAUUUUAGAUUUAAAAAAGAGCAGAAGUUAACAUUAUGCUAAACAUAAUUAAACAAUUAAUUAAUGGCAAGUCAUGUGUGUCAUGCAAUGAAGCAAAACAUCUGGGCUGAAUGUCAAUAAGUCUUCAAUUGCAUAUUAAUCUUUAAAAUCCUCUGAAACAGUGUAUGCAUUUGAAUCCAGAAUUUUCUAGCCUUUUUACAUAGCCACCAAACAUAAUAAAAUGUUCCUUGUUGUUUUUCACAUUUCCAACAUAAAUUUCAAGAGUAAUUAAGAAUGCUUUAAUACUAGUUGUUAUUUUGGUUAGUAUCAUGAAGAAGAAAGUACAAGUGGAAAUGGAAUUCUUGAUAGGAUAUCUGCCCCCUAUCAUUGUUACACAUCAUUUAUUUUAUUAAUAUAUUCAGUUUUGUAUCAAUAUUUUUGUCUGGAGAAUUAGGAUUAAAAGGACAACUGUUAAAAUUACUAUGGUAUUAGAAAAGUAUCUCAUAUUUUCAGAAAUUAUUCUUAUAAUUAUUGAUUCUCUAAUACAGAAAUUAUACACCUACUAUUCUCUGGUGGGGAGCUAAAAAAAAACAACCAAUAAAAGAUAUUGUGUGUUGAUGGCA